CGAGAUCUUCGGAUCUAGUGGCAGACGGGUGCGUAACGCGUGGGAACCUGCCCUUUAGUAAGGAAUAACUCAGGGAAACUUGUGCUAAUACCUUAUAAUCCCUUCGGGGGAAAGCUUUAUGCGCUAAUGGAUGGGCCCGCGUUAGAUUAGCUUGUUGGUGAGGUAAUGGCUCACCAAGGCGACGAUCUAUAGCUGGUCUGAGAGGAUGAUCAGCCACACUGGGACUGAGACACGGCCCAGACUCCUACGGGAGGCAGCAGUGGGGAAUAUUGGACAAUGGGGGCAACCCUGAUCCAGCGAUGCCGCGUGAGUGAUGAAGGCCUUAGGGUUGUAAAACUCUUUCGCUAGGGAAGAUAAUGACGGUACCUAGUAAAGAAGAUCCGGCUAACUCCGUGCCAGCAGCCGCGGUAAUACGGAGGGAUCUAGCGUUAUUCGGAAUAACUGGGCGUAAAGCGAGCGUAGGCGGAUUUGUAAGUUGGAGGUGAAAUCCCAGGGCUUAACCCUGGAACUGCCUUCAAAACUACAUUUCUUGAGUUUGGUAGAGGAGAGUGGAAUUCCUAGUGUAGAGGUGAAAUUCGUAGAUAUUAGGAGGAACACCAGUGGCGAAGGCGACUCUCUGGGCCAAUACUGACGCUGAGGUUCGAAAGCGUGGGGAGCAAACGGGAUUAGAUACCCCGGUAGUCCACGCAGUAAACGAUGAGUGCUAGAUGUUGGGAACAUUAGUUUUCAGUAUCGCAGCUAACGCG
rnacentral:rRNA from 1 species